rnacentral:rRNA from 2 species
GACGAACGCUGGCGGCGCGCCUAACACAUGCAAGUCGAACGAGGUUUACUCGGUACACCGAGGCCUUGACGAAACAUCGUCGAUGCCUGGGUGUACUGGAUAAACCUAGUGGCGAACGGGUGAGUAACACGUGAGCAACCUGCCUUUCAGUGGGGGAUAACACUUAGAAAUAGGUGCUAAUACCGCAUAAGACCACGCGCCCACAUGGGCAAGCGGUCAAAGGAGUAAUCCGCUGAGAGAUGGGCUCGCGUCUGAUUAGCUAGUUGGUGGGGUAAUGGCCUACCAAGGCGACGAUCAGUAGCCGGACUGAGAGGUCGAUCGGCCACAUUGGGACUGAGACACGGCCCAGACUCCUACGGGAGGCAGCAGUGGGGAAUAUUGGGCAAUGGGGGCAACCCUGACCCAGCGACGCCGCGUGAGGGAAGAAGGUUUUCGGAUUGUAAACCUCUGUCUUCGGGGAAGAUAAUGACGGUACCCGAGGAGGAAGCCACGGCUAACUACGUGCCAGCAGCCGCGGUAAAACGUAGGUGGCAAGCGUUGUCCGGAAUUACUGGGUGUAAAGGGAGCGCAGGUGGACUGGCAAGUCGAAUGUGAAAUCUAUGGGCUCAACCCAUAAAUUGCGUUCGGUACUGUUGGUCUUGAGUGGGGUAGAGGUAGGCGGAAUUCCCGGUGUAGCGGUGGAAUGCGUAGAUAUCGGGAGGAACACCAGUGGCGAAGGCGGCCUACUGGGCCCUAACUGACACUGAGGCUCGAAAGCGUGGGUAGCAAACAGGAUUAGAUACCCUGGUAGUCCACGCCGUAAACGAUGAUUACUAGGUGUGGGGAGUUUGACCUCUCUGUGCCGCAGUUAACACAAUAAGUAAUCCACCUGGGGAGUACGACCGCAAGGUUGAAACUCAAAGGAAUUGACGGGGGCCCGCACAAGCAGUGGAGUAUGUGGUUUAAUUCGAAGCAGCGCGAAGAACCUUACCAGGUCUUGACAUCGGAUGCAUAGCCUAGAGAUAGGCGAAGUCUUCGGACAUCCAGACAGGUGGUGCAUGGUUGUCGUCAGCUCGUGUCGUGAGAUGUUGGGUUAAGUCCCGCAACGAGCGCAACCCUUACUGAUAGUUACUACGCAAGAGGACUCUAUCGGGACUGCCGUUGACAAAACGGAGGAAGGCGGGGAUGACGUCAAAUCAUCAUGCCCUUUAUGACCUGGGCUACACACGUACUACAAUGGCCGUUAACAAUAGGGACCGAUGGGGCGACCCGGAGGAAAUCCAUUAAAAACGGUCUCAGUUCGGAUUGCAGGCUGAAACCCGCCUGCAUGAAGUCGGAAUUGCUAGUAAUCGCGGAUCAGCAUGCCGCGGUGAAUACGUUCCCGGGCC